rnacentral:rRNA from 1 species
UACGUAGGGGGCAAGCGUUGUCCGGAUUUAUUGGGCGUAAAGAGCGUGUAGGCGGCUAUACAGGUCCGCUGUGAAAACUCGAGGCUCAACCUCGAGACGCCGAUGGAAACCGUAUGGCUAGAGUCCGGAAGAGGAGAGCGGAAUUCCUGGUGUAGCGGUGAAAUGCGCAGAUAUCAGGAAGAACACCCGUGGCGAAGGCGGCUCUCUGGGACGGUACUGACGCUGAGACGCGAAAGCGUGGGGAGCGAACAGG